UCAGGAGGAUGACUGUGUGGCAGUAGUUCCACGCCUGUGGCUCAAAGGGGGAGGGCCACCACACAGCUUCACCUGCAGGAAGUCCUUCAGCCAGGACUUGUUCACCACCUGAAGACACCUGGGAGGCUGUCCCUUAUAAACCCAUCAAGCAAGCAGAUACGAGAGAGACUGGACGUGUGUAUUGCCAGAGGAGCGAAAAUCGUUCCAGCAUGGGCCCCUACCACGCCAAGGACGCACAUCUACACCACAACACCCUGUGGGUUGCAGCCCUGGAGGAUGGAACAAGCACAGUACUCCAAGGCACCAGAGAG